rnacentral:snRNA from 1 species
UAUCAUCUGCAAAUGAUAUGGUU